CAUGCAAGUCGAACGCUUUGUCUUUAACUGAUCUGACGAGCUUGCUCUGAUUUGAUUUUAUCUGACAAAGAGUGGCGAACGGGUGAGUAACACGUGGGUAACCUACCUCUUAGCAGGGGAUAACAUUUGGAAACAAGUGCUAAUACCGUAUAAUACCAACAACCGCAUGGUUGUUGGUUGAAAGAUGGUUCUGCUAUCACUAAGAGAUGGACCCGCGGUGCAUUAGCUAGUUGGUAAGGUAACGGCUUACCAAGGCAAUGAUGCAUAGCCGAGUUGAGAGACUGAUCGGCCACAAUGGGACUGAGACACGGCCCAUACUCCUACGGGAGGCAGCAGUAGGGAAUCUUCCACAAUGGGCGCAAGCCUGAUGGAGCAACGCCGCGUGUGUGAUGAAGGGUUUCGGCUCGUAAAACACUGUUAUAAGAGAAGAACGGCACUGAGAGUAACUGUUCAGUGUGUGACGGUAUCUUACCAGAAAGGAACGGCUAAAUACGUGCCAGCAGCCGCGGUAAUACGUAUGUUCCAAGCGUUAUCCGGAUUUAUUGGGCGUAAAGCGAGCGCAGACGGUUAUUUAAGUCUGAAGUGAAAGCCCUCAGCUCAACUGAGGAAUGGCUUUGGAAACUGGAUGACUUGAGUGCAGUAGAGGAAAGUGGAACUCCAUGUGUAGCGGUGAAAUGCGUAGAUAUAUGGAAGAACACCAGUGGCGAAGGCGGCUUUCUGGACUGUAACUGACGU
rnacentral:rRNA from 1 species